AUUGAACGCUGGCGGCAGGCCUAACACAUGCAAGUCGAACGAGCGGCGGACGGGUGAGUAAUGUAUGGGGAACUGCCCGAUGGAGGGGGAUAACUACUGGAAACGGUGGCUAAUACCGCAUACUAUCGGAUGUACCCAUAUGGGAUUAGCUAGUAGGUGGGGUAACGGCUCACCUAGGCGACGAUCUCUAGCUGGUCUGAGAGGAUGAUCAGCCACACUGGAACUGAGACACGGCCCAGACUCCUACGGGAGGCAGCAGUGGGGAAUAUUGCACAAUGGGCGCAAGCCUGAUGCAACCAUGCCGCGUGUAUGAAGAAGGCCUUAGGGUUGUAAAGUACUUUCAGCGAGGAGGCGUUACCCGCAGAAGAAGCACCGGCUAACUCCGUGCCAGCAGCCGCGGUAAUUC
rnacentral:rRNA from 1 species